AUAUAUAUAUAUAUAUAUAUAAACGCUCGAGUGUGAUGUGAACAACAUAACCUAAUAUUAUUUUGUCUUUUAAUUACUGUGAAAUAAUUUAUAAUAUAAUUUAUAGCUAUUGAUUAACAAUACUCAACGGUUCAUAAAAGGUAAAAUUUUAUAUAUAAGUAUGGAAAAUUUUCGACAGCGGAUACGAAAACCGCUUGAUUUGCUUGGACCACGACAACUAAAACGACGUACGCAACAAAUACUUGCACUGGAAUAUUUGUUAUCUAACUUAAAUAAUAAUAAUAAUAAUAACACUAACAUUAAUAUUUACAACAAUAACAAUAACGACAACGACCAUGACGACGAUAACAGUAGCCGCGAUUCAGACGUUUCAGAUGAUCCUAGCCGUUUUUCAGGAGCUGUCGAUCAAGCUAAUGAUGAGCCUUUGCCAUUGAUUGAUGGGCUUAACUUUUUUGAUCAACCAGUAACCCGAUCAGAGUAUUAGUUACUUAAUUUCCAUGUAAACAAUCAAGUUGCUAGUGGUGAUAAUGAUUCGAUUCUUACUGAGUUCAUAAAAGAGUGGCAUGUUAAACAUAAAAUCACACGUGAAGCGACUGACGAACUUUUACGCAAACUUCAAUCAUAGUCUCAAGAACAAUGUUUCUAUGCAAAAUGAAUUUAAAGACAUGAUACGGAAAGCUGGUGGUCGCAAUGUACAAAAAACCACUCGUUUUGCAUUGGAAUCAUUCAUUUCUGAUGAGUUGGCAAAACAAGUGACAUGGUCCGGAUUACACAGUGAGAUUAAAAUCUCAGCAUGUUUCUUCGUAGAAAUUAUUAGUGGUAAUAGAGCGAUAAAUAAUAUUGUAAGAUUAACUAUCCUGCUUAAAAAAUCCGAUAGAUUCUCAUAGCUGAAUUCAUGAGAAUCUAUUGGAUUCUAUGAGAUUUUUUAAGCAGGGUAUCUACUCUUCAAGUUCUAGCAAUAACUUGCUUUUUGAAGCCUUUGAUUGAUCUUUCUACUGUCAAAAAAUUUUAUUAAGCACUUUGAACGUUACAAAACCUGAUGUUGAACAUCAAAUGAAAGCCUGGUUUCAACGCGGUAGUGACCGAGCCAAUAAGAAUACCGAUCCUACAAAUGGUUCUGUCAAAAAGCAAAAAGUUGCCAAAUAAUUUGUAGUUACCAUCUUUAUAUUUACAAGUUGUUUUCAAAAAACUUUUUUUUAAUAGCAUAAAGAGUUUUCUGUUCUCUAAGCCUAAAUUAAUGAUCUCAAAACAUAAAAGUAAGCUUAUCAGAUAAAAAUAAAACUAUAAGUUAGUGUCACCAGUGCGCUAGUCACAACAACUAGUCUUGAUAUUAAGCUCACAAUUAUUAUUACUAUUAUUGUUAUUAAUAUAAAACUUAUG